UUUAUGCAUAUCAGUUGCAUGUUCCUUAAAGCCACUGUAAUGAUGACUACUGUUUCCAGGUAUAUUUUUAUGGAGUCAUAUGGACGUGCUCGUUGAUAAUUCGUAUAGAAUGUGUAUAUUCUUUAUAACUUUGCCAUGUAAUGCCUACUGUUAGAAAACAUCUUGCAAGUACUUUGGUUAGGUACUUGAAAGCACAUAUACACACAUGCCCAGCACAGCAAUAAGCACACACAUACAACAUAGAACAUAUGCUCUGCUCCUGAUUUGUCAAUAGUAUGAUGAUGCUUUGCUCUGAUUUGCUUUGCCACUCUAAAAGUUCUGCACUAGGGGCCACUUUGCAUGUGCUUGCUCAUGUAGUGACCUGAUUGCCAGUUGUUUGUGUUGAUGUGUUCAACUUAUGUCUAGAUACAACAAGUUAGUCUUGAUUUGUCCAAGAACUAAGUAGAAUUGUCUGAACUCUGCUUACACACAUCUGCCAUGUGGUGAGAUUAUGCGGGCAAGAAAAUGCAACAAGCUUGAUUGCGGGAUGCCCACGAGCACCUGCAUAACACAUGCGUGCAAGUGUGGGCAUCCCGCUAUUAGUCCCACUUGCAACAUGAAUGUGUAUCCCUAAUGAAGUGAAUGGUCAUGACAGUGUUCCUGAACUAUGACCAUCCAUUGACAUAUUGUUCAUACAAAUUCUAUUAUCAAUGUCGCUGAAUGAUAAUAUUGACCAUAAUGUAGGUUGCUUCCAAAGUACUCCCUUCGUCCCAUAAUAUAAAGUGUGUUUUUUGACACUACACUAGUGUAAAAAAUGCACUUAUAUUAUGGGACACGGAGUAGUUUUAGAGACUAUAACAUAUCCAAACUAGUGUAAUGUGGUAUAUGCUACUAUUCAGAGUACUGAUCUAGAAACUAAGGCUGGUGAUAUUGAGUUAGGUGUUGAACUUGCACUUGUGCGCAUAGAUGUACCUAUUCUUGAUAAUGAGGAGUUAGUAAAGUAAGUUUCUCAUUGCAAGAGAAUUGGUGAUGCUUUUGCUUCAGAAUACUUAAUUGCCUGACCUUUAGCUUUUGUAAGUUGAAGUGUUCUCUUCCAUAUUCCAAAUUAUAUUUGUGUACAUUUAAUUACAUAACUGCCAGGUCCAUUUUUUUACAGAUUCAAAAGAAGGAUAAUUAAGUUGCAGCUAAAUUCUCGGAUGGAUGAAGAAGCAAAUAAAGUUAGAAGAUUUUACUUAGCAAUAUCCAUAGUUUACAUUGACAGAUUGAAAAAUUGUAAUACUAUUCACAAGAUCUUUUUCUUUGGUUCAAUUGAUGUAAAUGCUAUGGUGUAAUAUUCUUCAUAGAUGUGUUCUCUAUAGUCAAAGUGAUAUGGAUGAUAUGUUGUUGCACCAAUAAGAUUGGUAUGUAUUUAUUGUAAUGCAUAUGUAUCCUACACUCUUGUAUAUUCAUAAUAAAUACCUUGAUAUUUUCAAUUUGUGUAUGUGUUUGUG
rnacentral:lncRNA from 1 species